rnacentral:rRNA from 1 species
CCUACGGGGGGCAGCAGUGGGGGAUAUUGCACAAUGGGGGGAACCCUGAUGCAGCGACGCCGCGUGGGUGAAGGAGUGCUUCGGCAUGUAAAGCCCUAUCGGCAGGGAAGAAGCAAGACGGUACCUGACUAAGAAGCCCCUGCUAACUACGUGCCAGCAGCCGCGUUAAUAAGGAGGGGGCGAGCGUUAUCCGGAUUCACUGGGUGUAAAGGGAGCGUAGACGGCCAUGCAAGCCAUGGGUGAAAGCCCGGGGCCGAACCCCGGGACUGCCCUUGAAACUGUGCGGCUAGAGUGCGGGAGGGGCAGGCGGAAGUCCUGGUGUAGCGGUGAAAUGCGGAGAUAUCAGGAGGAACACCGGCGGCGAAGGCGGCCUGCUGGACUGCGACUGACGUUGAGGCUCGAAAGCGUGGGGAGCGAACAGGAUUAGAUACCCUGGUAGUC